GACGAACGCUGGCGGCGUGCCUAACACAUGCAAGUCGAGCGGGAACCGGUGGAGGGGUAACCCUCUGCCGGGGAGAGCGGCGAACGGGUGAGUAUCACGUGGGCAACCUGCCCCGGACUCCGGGGUAACCCAGGGAAACCUGAGCUAAUACCGGAUACUCCGCCACGGUCACAUGGCCGUGCCGGGAAAGCUCCGACGGUCCGGGAUGGGCCCGCGGCCUAUCAGCUUGUUGGUGGGGUAACGGCCCACCAAGGCGACGACGGGUAGCUGGUCUGAGAGGACGGCCAGCCACACUGGGACUGAGACACGGCCCAGACUCCUACGGGAGGCAGCAGUGGGGGAUAUUGCGCCAAUGCGCGAAAGCGUGACGCAGCGACGCCGCGUGGGGGAUGAAGGCCCUCGGGUCGUAAACCCCUUUCGCCGGGGACGAAGCGCAAGUGACGGUACCCGGAGAAGAAGUCCCGGCUAACUACGUGCCAGCCGCCGCGGUAAGAC
rnacentral:rRNA from 1 species